AUUUAGUUUUGAUGGACUCUGCAUUGACUGAUCCCUUUGUAUAUCUAUUAUCUAUGACUGAUCCACUAACUUUAUAGGUAUGUCUUAUCUAUGACUUUGACAUUACUAUAGUUCAUGCUUAUAGUAUACCUAUAGUUGUACAAUUGGCACUACUUCCGGCUCCUGGCUAUUGGUUUGAAAAUGUAAAUUGAAUUGUUUUGUGUUUUUCACUUUAAAAAUUCGAAUUAUUGUUUCAUAAUCAUAUAAUCGAGGACUGUAGUUGUUUUAAAUAUCUGAAACUACUGCUACUAGAUGAUUUCCAUGACGAAUAACGAAAUGAAUAAUUUAUGACUAUUAGUGGAAAAUUGAUGAACUAAAGGACAAUCACAGAAAUCAACUUCUCUAUCAUGUCUCUACGGAACACUUCCGCCCUGGCGUGGGAUAUCUUCUACUGCAGAUUUUUGAAGAGUAGCCAUUGCCAUGUUUGCUGUUCGUAAGUUCAUACUCGGAAAGGACACCUGAAGGUUUGACCUGGGAGAUAAGAUAACAACCUUGGAUUAGACGGACAAAUUACUCAUUUACAGAUGUAGUUGUGGCAGUGACUUUUUUUUUUUUUCAAACGAUGCUUCUAACGAACUGGGCGGAAAAUUCUGAAAGCACAGGAUGUUAACGAUGGUAAUAAUCAUUAUCAAUAACAUUAACAAAUCCCUCCAAUAUGAAUAUUAUAUUAUUAUAUUGUUUCAACAAGCAUAAUAGAUGAAAACGAAGACAAAUGAGAAGGAAUCGAAAUAUAAAAAAGCGAAGUCUAAUUACUGUUUCUUCCCCUUGGUGUUGCUAAAGGAACGAUUUAUGACAAUGAACCGGUAUGUAACACUUAUCAAUUAAAAAUUGUAAAUGAGUUCUCAGAAACUUCAAUUUCUUAGAUAUUUGUAACAUACUUUCAGUAGACAACUUUUAAAUGUCUUUUCAGAAAUGACAGAAACAGAACAGCAGAAUUAAUGUGAAAUUCACCUUUCCUUCAGUGCGAAAGUUAGUUUCCUUACUGUACCACCACACCAGCACAUUAAAAUAUAACUGACUUACUAAUUUGCCUUACUAGUAAUUAAUUACAUUUUCUUGUCCAUCUCUAUAGAUUGCCCAACAAAUGAGAUGGAGUUCCAAGUACUUUUGGUGCUACUGAAACCACCAGUGCUUUUGAUGUCUUCCUACAAUACAGUUAAUUUCGAGCCUGUGAGAGAGAAGCAACUGGAAAUUAAUUUGGAAACCACUGAAUCAACGGAUUUGUCUGCCGUGGUAGCCUUCAUGGAUUUGGCUGCAGUCUAUUAAGAUUGCCCAACAAACUGGACAAUUACAAUUCAGUUUGGU